rnacentral:rRNA from 1 species
GAUGAACGCUGGCGGCGUGCCUAAUACAUGCAAGUCGAGCGAACAGACGAGGAGCUUGCUCCUCUGACGUUAGCGGCGGACGGGUGAGUAACACGUGGAUAACCUACCUAUAAGACUGGGAUAACUUCGGGAAACCGGAGCUAAUACCGGAUAAUAUAUUGAACCGCAUGGUUCAAUAGUGAAAGACGGUUUUGCUGUCACUUAUAGAUGGAUCCGCGCCGCAUUAGCUAGUUGGUAAGGUAACGGCUUACCAAGGCAACGAUGCGUAGCCGACCUGAGAGGGUGGUCGGCCACACUGGAACUGGAACACGGUCCAGACUCCUAAGGGAGGCAGCAGUAGGGAAUCUUCCGCAAUGGGCGGAAGCCUGACGGAGCAACGCCGCGUGAGUGAUGAAGGUCUUCGGAUCGUAAAACUCUGUUAUUAGGGAAGAACAAAUGUGUAAGUAACUAUGCACGUCUUGACGGUACCUAAUCAGAAAGCCACGGCUAACUACGUG